GACGAACCGUGCAAACGUUUAUUCGGAAUCACUGGGCUUAAAGCGUGCGUAGGCGGCUGAGAAAGUUGGGUGUGAAAUCCCUCGGCUCAACCGAGGAAUUGCGCUCAAAACUACUUGGCUUGAGGGAGUUAGAGGUGAGCGGAACUAAUGGUGGAGCGGUGAAAUGCGUUGAUAUCAUUAGGAACACCGGUGGCGAAAGCGGCUCACUGGGACUCUUCUGACGCUGAGACGCGAAAAGCGUGGGGAGCAAACAGGG
rnacentral:rRNA from 1 species